rnacentral:rRNA from 1 species
CAUGCAAGUCGAACGGAGUCAAGAGAAGCUUGCUUUUCUUGACUUAGUGGUGAACGGGUGAGUAACGCGUGAGUAACCUGCCCUGGAGUGGGGGACAACAGUUGGAAACGACUGCUAAUACCGCAUAAGCCCACGGCCCGGCAUCGGGCUGAGGGAAAAGGAUUUAUUCGCUUCAGGAUGGACUCGCGUCCAAUUAGCUAGUUGGUGAGGUAACGGCCCACCAAGGCGACGAUUGGUAGCCGGACUGAGAGGUUGAACGGCCACAUUGGGACUGAGACACGGCCCAGACUCCUACGGGAGGCAGCAGUGGGGGAUAUUGCACAAUGGGGGAAACCCUGAUGCAGCGACGCCGCGUGGAGGAAGAAGGUUUUCGGAUUGUAAACUCCUGUCGUUAGGGACGAUAAUGACGGUACCUAACAAGAAAGCACCGGCUAACUACGUGCCAGCAGCCGCGGUAAAACGUAGGGUGCAAGCGUUGUCCGGAAUUACUGGGUGUAAAGGGAGCGCAGGCGGACCGGCAAGUUGGAAGUGAAAACUAUGGGCUCAACCCAUAAAUUGCUUUCAAAACUGCUGGCCUUGAGUAGUGCAGAGGUAGGUGGAAUUCCCGGUGUAGCGGUGGAAUGCGUAGAUAUCGGGAGGAACACCAGUGGCGAAGGCGACCUACUGGGCACCAACUGACGCUGAGGCUCGAAAGCAUGGGUAGCAAACAGGAUUAGAUACCCUGGUAGUCCAUGCCGUAAACGAUGAUUACUAGGUGUUGGAGGAUUGACCCCUUCAGUGCCGCAGUUAACACAAUAAGUAAUCCACCUGGGGAGUACGACCGCAAGGUUGAAACUCAAAGGAAUUGACGGGGGCCCGCACAAGCAGUGGAGUAUGUGG